rnacentral:rRNA from 1 species
UGUAGUCAUAUGCUUGUCUCAAAGAUUAAGCCAUGCAUGUCUAAGUAUAAGCAACUUUGUACUGUGAAACUGCGAAUGGCUCAUUAAAUCAGUUAUAGUUUAUUUGAUGGUUUUUGCUACAUGGAUAACUGUGGUAAUUCUAGAGCUAAUACAUGCAUUCAAGCCCCGACUUCUGGAAGGGGUGUAUUUAUUAGAUAAAAAUCAACUUUGUUGGUGAAUCAUAAUAACUUCUCGGACCGCAUGGCCUCGUGCUGGCGGUGCUUCAUUCAAAUAUCUGCCCUAUCAACUGUCGAUGGUAGGAUAGAGGCCUACCAUGGUUGCAACGGGUAACGGGGAAU